rnacentral:rRNA from 1 species
GAUGAACGCUGGCGGCGUGCCUAAUACAUGCAAGUCGAGCGAACGGACGAGAAGCUUGCUUUUCUGAUGUUAGCGGCGGACGGGUGAGUAACACGUGGAUAACCUACCUAUAAGACUGGGAUAACUUCGGGAAACCGGAUCUAAUACCGGAUAAUAUUUUGAACCGCAUGGUUCAAAAGUGAAAGACGGUCUUGCUGUCACUUAUAGAUGGAUCCGCGCUGCAUUAGCUAGUUGGUAAGGUAACGGCUUACCAAGGCAACGAUGCAUAGCCGACCUGAGAGGGUGAUCGGCCACACUGGAACUGAGACACGGUCCAGACUCCUACGGGAGGCAGCAGUAGGGAAUCUUCGGCAAUGGGCGAAGGCCUGACGGAGCAACGCCGCGUGAGUGAUGAAGGUCUUCGGAUCGUAAAACUCUGUUAUUAGGGAAGAACAUAUGUGUAAGUAACUGUGCACAUCUUGACGGUACCUAAUCAGAAAGCCACGGCUAACUACGUG